AACGUAGGGGGCCAGCGUUGCUCGGAAUUACUGGGCGUAAAGGGUCUGUAGGCGGUGCGGUAAGUCCGGAGUGAAAUCUCCAGGCUCAACUUGGAGGCUGCUUUGGAAACUGCCGUGCUCGAGUGCGGGAGAGGCGCGUGGAAUUGCAGGUGUAGCGGUGAAAUGCGUAGAUAUCUGCAGGAACACCAGUGGCGAAAGCGGCGCGCUGGACCGCAACUGACGUUGAGAGACGAAAGCUAGGGGAGCAAACAGG
rnacentral:rRNA from 1 species